GCAUGAUGCAUUGCUCUGUCUGUUAUCCUAAAACUGUGUUUUUUUAUUUAAUCCAUUUCGAGCAAUUAAGAUGUAUAUGUGUGUAUGUGUGUAUGUAUAUUGAGCCAAAAUAUUAUGUGUGGAUGAGUUUAUGUCGGUAUGUUUGUAUGUAAAAUUAGCCUAUAUAAAAGUGGAAGACUUGUCUAAAUAUCUGAAAAUAAGCUGUAAAAAGGGAUUAAUGAUCACUGGUCUGAUUGUAUGUUAUUCUGUGUAAUCAUCAUUCAGUUUGAAGUUGAUCUUUUAAUGUACAAAGUAGCUGAUAUUGCCAUCACUUCUAGUCGACCUCCGAGUCGCUUUCAUUCCAAAAUGGCGGAUUCGUGGGGCUGCUGCUGUUGCAAUGGAACGUUCUAUUGAGUUUCCCCUCUUGUGCUUCUAUACUCUUUGCUUAGAGUGAGCGAACUGUCUGUGGUAAGAUGGCCGCCAGGUGAGGACUUUAGAGACUCCGCCGUAAGACUUCUAGCCUUUAUAUACAUAUCUAUGCUCGUACCCCAAACCUAACCCUAAACAUCUCGCGAGAUUUGGUUGUAGUUUUAUCCCCUCUAGCCAAAACCCUGUAGCAGUUAUCAGCCGCUAGGUGACGCAUGCGUGUUCACUGCCGCGCGUAGUGUGCGCCAGAACGCCACUCAGUUUGUUUUAGUAUUUAAUGUUUAAUCACAUCAGGGAACUUAUUUCAAACAUUUUAUGAGGCACAUAACUACGCGUGUACUGCAGGAAGAAAUCAGGAUGACAUCUGUUGGUCUUAAGUCUCAUUAGAUUUCAAACAGUACAUUCAUUAUAUGAGUAGAUGAGCAGAGACCUCAGAGGAAACACUCGCUCAUAAAGGGGAGCAGCAACUCUUCAAACUAAUUACUUCAGUUGCUGUUCUUACCUUCAGGAUUGAUGCAAGAAAGACAAUAAACACAUCACAGCACAUUAUUUCCCCUGAUGUCCAUAACAAAUCCACAGCCCAUAAUGGCAUUUUUGUCCUGACAUCUCAUCUUGUGUUAAUGGGAAAAAGAAAUAAUACAGCUUUGGACAUGAGGGCGACUCUUAUUUGUUGUAGAAGUUCUUGAACUCCUUCUUUAAAUGUAGAAUGAAAAACUCAAUGUGUUCUCGUCCCUCCACCCACCAUCCUUCCUAUUAAAGUUAAAGAGCGUUGAAUGUUUUCCAGUGCUAUUUGGCUAUUGAAACAGUAUUUUAAAGCACAUUGUGAAUCAGUUAGAUGUCUUUAGAAACAGAAAAGCAACAAACAGCCAGAGUAAUUGUAUUUUAAUAUGCUCUGUAUUUUAUUAUCUUUUAUUAGUUGGAGAUCUUUGUGAACUUCCUUUGGUUCUGUAGAGAAGAUGUUGACCAUCUGUAGAUCUUCAGUUCAUCUGGCACUGCUGACAUAAAGUUUAGAAAUAAUCAGCAUAAAUAUGAAAGGCAACUAAUGCUCUGUCAUUUUAGAUUUAAUAUAAGCAGAAAAGAUCAAUCUGCUGAUCAUAUAAGUUAUACAAGAUGCAGUUGAAUGAUGGAAAGAUGGAUCGUAUCUUAUGUGUUAUAAAUCUAGAUUUGGAAAUGUGUUCCUGCAGAUUGUGAGUCUGUAAGAAGUCAUUACAAACCCACCUGAGACCUAUUAAGACAAAUGUGAACAAGAACAACCUCUUAUAAAACAGGUUUAGUUAAAAAGCACAUUAACUUACCUGCCAGGAACAUUAAUGCAAAUCAAAACAAAGGGCUUCUGUUUUAGUUUGGUAAAGCUGCUAUUAAAGGCAGCAAUGCAGUUCUCGCAAAGUAAGAUAUUUUUAACUCUUUCUUUCUUCAGGAUCUCCAGUCAUGCUGAGCAAACAACUGCAGUCCUGUGUGCGGUCAGACUAUCUUUUCUAUUACAAUAUCAAUACAUAUACACUGAGACUGAGACUGAGGUUGUUAUCUCUCAUGAAAGAAAUGCAAUACCGUAACAGAUAUUCUAAUGGAGUUAAGGUUAUAAUGGUCUCUACUGGUAAUGUGUUGGGUUUUAUUUGUUGUUUUCUACUGGGAUGUAUUGGUGGAUGAGAACCAACAGAAACCAUUAAAUCUUUAUGGAUUAGCACCCAAAACCCACUCCACAGAAGAAUGUAUAAUGGUUUAGAUGAAACAAUGGUUCAAUUUGUAAUGAAAGCAUUCAAGUUUCUCUUGUUAUUUUUUAAAUAAGGUCUGAGGUGA